UACCAGCACCCCGAGUGGUCGGGACGAUUAUUGGGCCUAAAGCAUCCGUAGCCGGUCCUGCAAGUCUUCCGUUAAAUCCAGCUGCUCAACAGAUGGGCUGCGGGGGAUACUACAGGGCUAGGAGGCGGGAGAGGCAAGCGGUACUUUAUGGGUAGGGGUAAAAUCCGUUGAUCCAUAGAAGACCACCAGUGGCGAAGGCGGCUUGCCAGAACGCGCUCGAGGUGAGGGAUGAAAGCUGGGGGAGCAAACCGG
rnacentral:rRNA from 1 species